AGUGAACGCUGGCGGUAGGCCUAACACAUGCAAGUCGAACGGCAGCACAGUAAGAGCUUGCUCUUACGGGUGGCGAGUGGCGGACGGGUGAGGAAUACAUCGGAAUCUACUUUUUCGUGGGGGAUAACGUAGGGAAACUUACGCUAAUACCGCAUACGACCUACGGGUGAAAGCAGGGGAUCUUCGGACCUUGCGCGAUUGAAUGAGCCGAUGUCGGAUUAGCUAGUUGGCGGGGUAAAGGCCCACCAAGGCGACGAUCCGUAGCUGGUCUGAGAGGAUGAGCCGAGACACCGAGAGGAAGAAACGGUCGAGAAUACUACGGGAGGGAGGAGUGGGGGAUACAGGACAACGGGGGAAAGGCAGAACGAGCAAUGCUGGGUGAGCGAUGAUGUUCGUAGGGUAGUAAAGCACUUUUAUACGCGACGAUACUGACAGUACCGGAAGAAUAAGCACCGGCUAACUUCGUG
rnacentral:rRNA from 1 species